UCAGUAUCUUUUGGUUUCCUGUUUCUUCGGUAGUGUGUUCAUUUGAAACCAGAUGUUUCCUUUGUCGGGGGUUGUGGUUUGAUGUUUUAAUAACUAAUGGCUGCAUGCUUAAGAUGAAGUGUUUGGGGGAGUGAAGUAUCAACAGAGAGUAGGAGGUUUUCUGUUCAUUUUGGAGAUCAUCUUGAAGACAAAGGUAUUUUGUGUGAAUGUGAAGUUGCUGUUGUUGUUACUGCAAAGAUGGAUUUUAAUGGAACGUCCCCUACCACAGCUCCACAAUAUCAAUUUUUUUUGCAGCUUUAUGUGGUCCUUGCUGUGGCUGGGUUCAUCUUUCUCCUCACCCUGUCAAUUUGUAUCACCCUCCUGAUGAAGAAGCCCACUGUCCAGCCAGAUACUGGAGGUGACCCAGGAGCUGGUGAUGUUGUGUAUGCAGACGUGAACAUACAGACGGGCUCAAGGAUACCAGCGCCCCCUGUGGAGACAGUGGAGUAUGGACAGAUCCGAGUCAGAUGUGAGCCAGAACAAUGAACUGCACUGCAACUUAACCUGCAAAAUAAUACAUGUUUAACAUGUGGAAAAAUGUACGGUGGAUUAGGUUUAGGGUUAGGGUUAAUUUCCCUUUUGAUUAAUCUCCCUUUUUAAGCAUUCAAGUUUUUGUGUUUAAAUAAUCACAAUUUAAAAAUUGAUUCAGGAGGAAUCAAUUACACAUACUCUUUUUCUUUUAUUCUUUGUUUAUAUUUUUGUUGUACUUUGUAUACUAUUGUUUUAUUCCUAUUCUCUUUCUUUAAGCUAAUGAUGUAAUGAAGUGAGACUGAUUUUCAUAAACCCCACUGGGUUUUCUGAUUUCACCUGCACAAUUUGUUUCUUUGUUUGUCCUAAUGUUUGAUUUGUUGUUGUGCAAAAUAAAUAUCAAUAAAUCGCAAAAUACACUCAAUAUUCCAGUAAAGGAAUAGAACAGAUGUAAAACAUAUAUGUCUACAACUCUAUGGUGGCAGACGUAUUGCACAUGCAAAAAAUCAUUUUUAUGGUCAGGGCAAUGCUGUCUAUGAAUAUUUUGCCCAUUUGAAUUGACUGAUGACAGCUAAUUUUCUUCUUCAUGUUUUUUCCCGGUCUGUAUUUUGAAAAGACACUUUUUCCACAAAAUUUACCACUGCCAUAGAAAAACUGAAAUAUGGAGUGCAUAAGUAAAAUUAUAAAAUUUCUGCAUGUAUCACAAUGUUAAUUUGUAAAAGACAUAUUUUAUGUUACUUAAUAUAAUUUAGUUUAACAUUUUUAUUGUCACUUAAUGAAAAUUUCCACACAGAAUACAAUUACGCUGUCUCAUUCUGUUUUAUGUACUGGGGGCUCGUACAAACCUGGGGCCUACAAAACCUUGUAAAUUUUACACAAUAGCUUGCACUGCCUGAUGAAAAACCAGGGUUUAGAAAAAUUGAAUUAUCUGGACAUAUUCAGCUAGUGCAACAUUAUGUUAAUAUAGUUUAUAGUUUUAUUAAAGUUUUACCCUGAAUGAUCCUGGUGCAAAUAUUGUUGAAGUUCAGGUCCAGUGGAGUUGCAAUCCCCAACCCAGUGCACUGGGUCAUUCAUUUUACACUAUUGUCAGGUGAAACCGAGCCAACCUGUGUGUACUUUUUAACUUCCAGUCAGGAUGGGAACAGAAAUGAGACUCAUCAGUAGAACAUAGAAAGUUCAACUGUAAUAAUAAUAAUAAUAAUGAUCGUCAUCAUCAUAAUAAUGAUAGUGAUAAUAGUACAUCAACUGAAAACCAACCUUCAUGAUAUAAUAUACAGUGGAUUAAGUUUGAGGUGAUCAGUAUACAAAUUAUAUAUUUUUAUAUUAUACUGUAAGUUUAAUGGCAUAACUCAUUUUUCAAAGCAAUGAUACACAUGGCAGUUAGUUACAAUUCCAUUCAAUUACAGUCUGAUAAUCUGUUAGUUUAUAAAUUAACAGAGGUUGUUAGUAUUUUGAGAGUUGUGAUGCAGCAACAGGAGAUGAGAUCUCUUGUGAGACUUCUGAGCAUUUCUCAGAAAAGACUCAUUAUUCUCUGCAGCCCCUCCAUCAGAGACACUUUGUCAUGGAGACACUCUCUCAUGGUUAGAUGAGUUUUCCCUCUUAGCGACAAAUAAGAUGCACAGAGCGCUUUGUCAGCGCUUCAUGUAAACAAGUGCGUGGCAUGUGUCUGUACCUACUCAUUUGUUUCUACCCUGGUGGGGACUCUGA